rnacentral:lncRNA from 1 species
UUCGCCUUAUUGCUUAUUUGAACAAGUAAAAGUUCUGCCUUGAUUGUGCCCCAGUUGAGAAAAAUCAAAAAGCCAAAACCUUGAGCAGACCCUGAAAUGUAACCCCAUCAUUUUCAUCUCCACCGGCCAACCUGAUCAUGGCUUCAACAUCUUCAUCAUGGGCCUCAAACCCGGCCCAUUUAAGGUAACUUUUCAAAUCCUCACGGCCCACUUUCCCAUCUCCAUCUUUGUCCAUAACCCGAAAAGCAUCUUCCAUUACAACCCAUCUCCCAUUUCUACCGUUUUUCCCAUUCAACACCUUCUCAAAUUCUUCAUAUUCCACAUAUCCAUCCUUGUUAAAAUCCGCCAUGGAUAUCCCCCAGGGCCCGAAAACCCUCCGUAAAAGGCCCGGAGAUCGUCGUGGCUAAUCUUUCCGUCGCUAUCAGCGUCAAGAACAUCGAAUGCUGAUCGCAAAUUGGGCUUUCCGGUUGUUUCACGACCGCCCGAGGCGGUUCCCGAUGGACACAUUUCGUUCCGGGAAGACCAAGAAAUUAUAUGGGAUCUGAAAGGACAAGAUUUUAUGAAAUGGUGUAAACCGCCUUUUGGGUGUUUGAGAGAGUUUGGGAGGCAAGAUGUCUGAAUUUAUAGUUGGAAUUUGACUUGCCCAUCAAGUUUAUUUUCUUGAAUUUGUAGAAAUUAAAAAUUCUUAGGGUAAAUUUCAUCCAUGGUCACUGAAUUUUCAGUGAAAUCUAAAUUAGGUCGUUAAAUACUAAUUUAUCUCAAUUGGUUCACUAAAUUUCAAUAUUAAAUUUUUAUUUCACCACUCUGUCAUAUUCCGUCACUUGUCGUCAGCUUCAAGAUGCUAAAAAUUGCUUCGUUGACAAUCAUACCAAAAUUGAUCUUCCAUAUAAUCUCUACAUAGCUACUUCCCUUUAAUACUUUUAUGUUCAUAGUGUAGCGAUAAUUUAGCAUAGCACACUAUGAUUAUGUGGAAGAUUCAUCUUGAUAUGACCUAUAAUUAAGUAGAUUUUAUCAAUUUCGAAGUAGCAUGUGAUAGUAGAGAAAUUUGACACCAAAAUUGAACAAAAUAAAGUUUAGUAAUUGACCUAAUUGAAAUUAUUUUGAAAGCUCAGUGACCGCGGAUAAAGUUGACCAGAAUCAUAGAUUUGUAUAUGUAUUAUAUUAUUGGUGUAUUACGUGUGAGAUGACGCACGGGGGAAUCUAACAUGUCGGUCAUUGUUGAAGUUUCUCGGAGGAGUCAAAAGACAUCGUCCCUUGUAUGUGAUGUCAUUUCAGAGAAAUUACACUAUGGUGUCUUUUUUUUUGACCAAGUUGAAUCUUAUUUUGAUGUAAAAUGUCUAAAAAUCCUUUAUGAAAAACUUCUUUCAUUAUUUUUAAUCAUCAGGAUAAAUCUAAUUCAAUUAAAAUCAUCUCUAUUUUUUCUUUGAUCCUUGAAAUAGGGAUGUCAACGAGUCGAGUCGAGUCCGAACCUAAAACUUUCGGCUCGAUUAAAAUGGUCAAGCUGUUUUACGAGCUCGAGCCGAGCCGAGCUUUUGCUCUACCAAAAAAUUUUCGGCUUCUGCUCGGACUUUUCCGAGCUGAGCCUAGCCGACUCCUUUUUUUUCUGGCGGCCUUAAAAGGCAGAAUUUGCUGCCUUGAAUUAUGCCUUUUUAAAGGCAGCAAUUCUGCCUUUUAUGCCCAUUUUUCAUUUUUUUUAAUUAAAGGCUUGCGGGUCAGCCCGAGCCUCAGCUCGGUUGCUCCAAGCCACAAGUCGGGCCCGUCUGAGUCGUCAAGCCUUUUUGACACUCCUAGGUGAGUGCAGGAAGGGGUCGAUCUAGCACAAUGAAACAAAGGGUUUACCGUUUGUCAACUGAGAAUCCAUAAAAAGAUUUAUGUGUGGAGUACCUCUACUUUAGCAGGGAUCCCUUUGCUUAUAAGGAGGGUCCGCAUGAGCUAAAACUACGAAUGGCCCAAAUCAAAGUGAAGUUUUGUGAACUGGGGCAAGAACUUGUUGGGCGUAGGAUAAAGUUAAUCAAGGAGUGGAGGGCAAAAAGCUACAGAAGUCAGGGAUAUGAGGCUCGGUCUACAGGCCUUACGUCAAAGCCCGAGAACAGAUUGGAAGUGAGAGGGAUCCAGAAUCUAAGGAAGCGAAGGAACUGAGCUAGACUACUGGGGUUAAGAUGGGGAAAAGAUGAUACCAGUAUAUCACAGAGAUGCUUGGGUGGAUGCUGAAUCUUGAUCUGUCUCCUGGCAUUGAUAGUGAUUGAUCGAAUUCCUACUCUUGUUGCUAUUGGGAAGUGUGGCAAGGACGUGGAAUUGGGGACGGCACGUCGGCAUGGACAUAAAUGUGAUUGCCAUGCAUUCUUGAACUGGACAAUAAAAAUAAAGAAAGAAGAAUCAUUGAUUACAAAUUGAUGUUGUCAAUAAUAAUCUCUCUUUCCUUCCAAUGGAAAAUUAAAAUUCAUUGCUUUUUUCCCUUCUGAGUGCGAAUAUUUCAAAAAAAUGAAAAAAAUUGUAAAUGGCAAGUUUAUUAAAAUUUACAAGUGAAUGACAAUUGUACGCCUGCAUUCCUAGAGAUUAUUAUCGUUGUAUUCUUGAUUCUGUCAUAUAAAUAUAGGGUUUUGGUACUUAAUAAAAUACAUACAAAUCUAUUAACUUCUUUAUAUUUUCUUCUAUUUUCUCUCUUUUUAUAACACGUUAUCAGUACGAUAGCUUAAUUUUUCAAAAUUUAGUAAAUGUAGUAAUUUUUUUAUAAGUAUAAAUAUUUAUCACGUAUAUCAAAAUUAAUUUAGUGGCAUGUGAAUUCUUUCGAUGUACAUAUACAUCAUAAUCAAGUUGUUUAUUCUCUUCCGAUUUUCAUUUGCAUGCAUAUUAAUUUUAAUCCAUGUUUGUAUGUGUAAUUUGUACGCAUAUUAAUUCAUGUCUUUUGAUUCAUACACAAUUAAUUUUGUCACAUAUCAUUAAUUCUGUCUUUUGAAUCUGUUACAUACUAGUUCUACUUUUGAUUUUUGUACAUGUGAAAUUCAUAUGUAUGUUUAGUAUCUUUUGUAUCUGGUAAAAAAUUUAGCCAAUUUUGUUAACUUCUAUGUAUAAAAAUUCUUUUUCCUAGGUAUCGUUUGGUAGCCAUUUUUUUUCAAAAUGCAUUUUUUUCUCUCUUUUUUUUUUCAACCACCUAUUCUUUAUUAAAAUAAUAUUAUACGUAAAUAAAAAAAAUUUCCUUAUUUUUCAACCACACAUUUCACAUCAAUUUACUAUUCUAAAAUGUAUUUUUACAUAAAAAUGCCUAUCAAACACCUCCAAUACAUGUUUGGUAAUUAAUUUUUUUUAUAUAAAUUCAUAUUAUGUCUAUACGGUGAUUAAAUAUUCUUAGAUAUUCUUCUAUAAACUUUAAAUUAAUAAUUUAACAUAUUGUUGUUCUAAAAAUAGCACAACAUUAUAAUUAAUAUUGCAGAAGAAUAUUAAUUGUAUAUCUAUAUAUUAUAAAUAGUUCGUUCUUACUUUUGAAGUAGCACAAAAUUAUUAAUAUUCUAGAAGAAUAAUACUUGCUUAUGAAGAGCAUGACAUUACAAUUUCAAUAUUCUAGAAUAAUAUUGACCAAAUGCUCCCGAUGACGCAUAAUUUAAAUUAUAUUUAAUUUUAACAAAUAUGGUGUUGAUGUUAUCGAAGAAGCACAACUCACAUUAUAUAAAUAUUUCGGAAGAAUAUUUUAUUGUUACUCAUGUAAAACACAAAUUUAAUAUUAAUAUUAUAUUGUUUAACUCGAAAGGUAGAAUGAGUCGUUAGUAUCAAUAUUACAGGGGAAUAUUGUAUUUAUACUCUUGAAAAUUAUAUAUCUCUUUAUACAGCACAACUUAUAUGAAAAAUUUGUAUUGAUGUUCCUAAAAAAAUGACAUUAUUAAUAUUUUAAAAAAGAAUAUUAAUUGCUCCAAAAGAACACUAUAUUAUAAUAUCAAUAUUCCUUAAGUAUAUUGAUUGGUUUUAUGUAAAAUCAUGAAUUAAGUUACUCUAUUUAUUUAUGUAUCCAUUCUUCUACACACAUCUUAUAUAUUAAUGUUCUGUUUAGAUUUUAUUGCUCUCGAAGAGUAUAAUGAUGUAAGGUCUAAUAUAAAAUUACGUUUUUACUCGUGAAGAGUAAAUCAUUACAUAAGUUAUUGCUGUAAAUAAUAAUAUGUUAUUACUCUUGAAGAGCAUUGAAUUAAAAUUCUCCAUAAUUCAGAAAAGUAUUGAUUUAAUAUUCUUGAAGAAGCAAUAUUAAAAUGUAAUGUGAUUUUGAAAUAGCAUAAUAUAAUUUUCAUUAAUAUUUUAGUUAAAUUGUAUUUGCUCCCAAAGAGCAUAAUUAUAUACAAUCCAACAUAAAUUAUAUUUUUACUCUUGAAAAGUAAAUUUUUGUAUAAUUUAUAAUAAUAAUAUUUGGUUGCUUCUAAAGCGUUUGAAUUAUAAUUUUCAGUAUUUUAGAAGAAUAUUGAUAUAUUGAUGUUGAAAAAACAAUAAUAAAAUAUAACGUAAUCUCUGUGUCCUCACACAUUUCGAAAAAUUAUACUUCAUUGUGUUCCUAAAAACACAAAAAUUAUAUGUUUAUCCCUGAAGAAAAGCAUACAAUUUAUGUCAUGUGAACUUUAAUUUUUAUAUUAUAUAUCAUAGUUAAUCAUACUUUUGAGAAUUAACUAUGUUUUUUAUUUGAUUAAAUAAUUAUUUAAAUUUGAAACUUAUAUUGAACUAGAAAUUCAAUUAUUUGGCAUGACGUGAUGUGUGUAUUAUUUGUUCUCUUUAUUGACAAUUAAUUAUUAAACAUAACCGACUAAAACAGGGAUUGAACUUCCUAUAUUUUUGAAAAUUAAUUAGAGUGGUAUAUAGGGCGAUAUUAUCCUCCACGUUGAUCAUCUAAGAACCCGUUUGGUACGGAUUAUAAUUCGAUUUUAAUUUAAGUCAAAGUCAAAUAAUCAAUCAAUAUUAGCCACAUCUUCCAUAGGUCCUAACUUUUCAAUCACACAUUUCAAAAUUUUUUUAUCACAAUCUACUUAAAAUCUAUUUUUAAUUCCCAUCAAAUAGCCUCUAAAUAUUAUUUGUAUCUGAUAAAUUUGAUAUAUAUACUAGAUGGUUGCACGUGUUCAUAUCUUGAAGUUUGUGAAAUUAUUGUUCAAAUUCUAAAUUGUGAGUAUAAUUUUCGGAUUAUAUAAUCAAGAUUGUGUCUUGUCAAUGCUAGUGGACAUAAACAUCAACAUUUUAAUAAAUGCUAGUUAUUAGUUGAGAUGUCAAUAAAUGGUUUGACACUAUUAUUUGUUACAUGCCUUCAAGUAAUUUAAUUGAGAAUAAGGUACUUCCCAUUUUUGUUUGAGGAUUUUCAUUGCGCAUCAUGCCAAUAUCACAGUUCUCUCUAUUAUAAUUGGCUUAUAAUUAGAGCAUAAUUUUUUCAUCUAAUUUUUUCGAUAAUGCAUAUAUGUAAAAUUGAUAUACCAUAAUGUAUUCAAAUGGAAAGUAAAGAAUGUUGAGAAUAAAUGCAUAAUUUGAACCAUUAUCCCAAAUGAGAGAUAUUUUAUAACGGUGAAAAAAUAAUUGUCAAUUUGAUUGGACAAUUCUCUCAAUAUUAUAGGGAAGAAUUAAGAAACUGAAAAUAAUAUACAAAUGCAUUAUUAUCUAAAUCACCGCAAAAGAUCGUUCGAACCAAAUGUUCAAAAGAAAAUAUACUUGAUGCAUUUAUUGACUCAAGAGAUCAAUAAUAUCUCACACAUCAGUUUCAAAUAUUCCAACUCGAAUUAACGUCCUAAGGAUAAUUAGUCAAUAUGAUAUUUUAAGGUACGCUUGAAACCUGAUGGUAUUCGAUUCUAAUUAAAAAAAAUCUCCAAACGAAACUAGAGCAAUUAGUAAAGAUAGUCUUAUUAAAGAGUCAUAUAUUCUUGAUGAGUAUUUAGACAUAACAAAUUACAAAAUUUCAGAAGAGAUUCAGGUACCUGAUAUAUUGAAAAUUGAUAUAUCUCAAUAAGUUAUGUCAUCAUGAAGAAAGAAAUAGAAUCCAACAAGAAAAUAAAAAAUUGUCGACAAUAAUUUUGCACAUGAUGUAUUGCAUCAUAUAGCAACGCGUCAAAAUAUAUCGAUCGAAGUAAUAAUUAGCUAAAUAAAGGGACUCAAUUCUAACUUGAAUUUAUUAGAGAAACCUGAAGUUUUUGGAUAUACAGUUCGAACACCUGAAGGUGUAUACUUAUGCAAAAUAAAAAUGGAAAAAAAAAUAAAGUCAUAAUAUGAAAUGUACUAUUCUUUACAUAAUGAAUUUCAUGAAAAUUAGUAUAAAUAGAUAGAUCAUGUAGUGGAAGUAAUUACAAGUCUCUAUUUUAUUAGUCUGGCAAGACAUAGAAUUUGAUAUUAAUAUUAUAAAUUCGAUUAUAGUCAAUGCAUCUGGCAUGGUUAUUAAUGUUACCUUGAAAGAUUUAAAUGUUUGAAUCAUAAUUCAAGUGUUAUUAUAAUGAGGGAGAGUAAUGUAAAAUAUUUUUCGAACAAUUGAACAAAAUAAACUUUAAAAUAUCCAUUUUUACUAGUGUAAUUUACACUGAGUAAUGUACAAUAUUUUUCAAAGUUUAAUUGCCCAAACUCGACAUUUAAAUUUCAGUGAAUAAUUGAAAACAUGGACUUAAGUUAAGUGACCUCGAUAUUUUAAAUUUUAGUGACCAAUUAAAGUCAUGAACCCAAGUUCAAUUGCCAUUGAAACAAUUAAUUAACUAUGUGUCUUCGUGGAAUUAAAUUUUACUUAUUAAAACAUGUGUCUGACACUCAUUUUUAUGGAAAAAUGAAUUUUAGAAUAGUAGAUUGAUAGAAAAUGUGUGGAUGAAAAAUAAGAAUUUUUUUUAUUUACGUAAAUUAUUAUUUUAAUGAAAAUUAUGUGAUUAAAAUAAAGUGAAGGAAAAAUACAUUUUAAUAAAAAUGAGAAUCAAACGAGCCUUGAGCCUCUAUCUUGCUUGGAUUUCUAGUUGAUGCCACGAAGCAACAACAUGGGGUUGGUGCCACGUGGACAAGUUGAGGCUGAUGAACCUCUUAAGAAACUUGUAAAUAACUUUUUAUUUGAAAAAAAGUUGUAAUGAAUAUUGAAUAGAGGGUGUUUGGUAGAUAUUUUUAUGUAAAAAUGCAUUUUUGAAUAGUAAAUUGAUGGGAAAUGUGUGGUUGAAAAAUAAGGAAAAGUUUUUGAUUUACGUGUAAUAUUAUUUUAAUAAAGAAUGUGUGGUUGAAAAGAAGAGAGAGAAAAAUGGAUUUUCAAAAAAAAUGGGUACCAAACAAGCUUAUAAUAUGUUUUGUCUGCCUAGGUGCCAGUGAAGGCAUCAACCUACACUCCAAACAUGCUAUUAGCCUCCCGUUUGAGUCCCAUUAUUUUUCAUUACAUUAAAUUAAAUUUUUCUCUCUUCUACUUUUAACCACAUAAUUUUCAAUUAAAAAAAAUAUUACACAUAAAUCAAAAACUUUUCAACCACUCAUUUUUCAAAAAAAUAUUAUUCAUCUCAUUAUAAUCUACAAAUAAUAGGGCUCAAAUAGCCCCUUAAUGAAAUGGAAUUGGAUGAAUAAUUGUUGGGGCUCAUUUUAUAAUGCGGACAAAUAAAAGACCAAAAAUAACAAAAUGGUCAGAACAGAAUCAUCUCAAUAAUUAAGAAAAUUGUUCAACUAUUAAAAAUAAAAAACAAUAAACAGACAAAAUCUUUGGCUAGAGUUGUCUUACAAUUGCAGACCACCUUGUUUCACCUUAUUUCUUAUUUGAACAAGUAAAAGUUGUGUCUCCAGUCGAGAAAAAUCAAAGAGCCAAAACCUUGAGCAGACCCUGAAAUGUAACCCCAUCAUUUUCAUCUCCACCAGCCAACCUGAUCAUGGCUUCAACAUCUUCAUCACGGGCCUCAAACCCGGCCCAUUUAAGGUAACUUUUCAAAUCCUCACGGCCCACUUUCCCAUCUCCAUCUUUGUCCAUAACCCGAAAAGCAUCCUCCAUUACACCCCAUCUCCCAUUUCUACCGUUUUUCCCAUUCAAAACCUUCUCAAAUUCAUCAUAUUCCACAUAUCCAUCCUUGUUAAAAUCCGCCAUGGAUAUCAUAGACUUUAUAUCAUCCUCAUUGGAAUCCCCGGGGCCAGAAAACCCUCCGUAAAAAGCCCGGAGAUCGUCGUGGCUAAUCUUUCCGUCGCUAUCGGCGUCAAGAACAUCGAAUGCUGAUCGCAAAUUGGCUUUUCCGGUUGUUUCACGGCGGUCCGAUGCGGUUCCCGAUGGACACAUUUUUGUUCGGGAAAUACCAAGAAAUUAUGAAAGGACAAGAUUUUUUAUGAAACGGUGUCAACUGACGUUUGAGAGACUUUGGGAGGCAAGAAGUGUAUUUAUAGUUGGAGUUUGACUUGCCCAUCAAGUUUAUUUUCUUGAAUUUGUAGAAAUUAAAAAUUCUUAGGGUAAAAAUUCAUCUAUGGCCACUGAAUUUUCUGUGAAAUCUAAAUCAGGUCAUUAAGUACUAAUUUACCUCAAUUGGGUCACUAAGUUUCAAUAUUAAAUUUUUGUUUCACCACUUGUCAUAUUCCGUCACUUGUCGACUUCCAAAUGUUAGAAAUUGCUUCUUUGACAAUCAUGCCAUAAUUGGUCUUCCAUAUAAGCUCUAUAUAGCAACCUAGAUAUUGAAAGACAUGCUUUUAUUAUGUCUGUAGUGUAAUGAUAAUUUCGCAUAGCACAAACGAUUACGUGGAAGAUUCAUUGUGAUAUGACCUAUAAUUAAUUAAUUUUUAUCAAUUUUGAAGUAGCAUGUGAUUGUGGAAAAUUUGAAAGCAAAAUUGAACAAAAUAAAGUUUAGUCAUUGACCUAAUUGAAAUUAUUUUGAAAGUUCGGUGGCCGCAGACAAAGUUGACCAGAUUCUUAGAUUUGUAUAUUAUUAUUGUAUUACCGAUUACGUAUGAGAUGACGCACGUGGGAAUCUAACAUUUUGGUCAAUGAUCAAGUUUCUCGAAGGAAUCAAAGACGUUGUCUCUUGUAUGUGAAUUGUGAUGUCAUUUUAGGGGAAUUACACUAGGGUCCCAAUUGUUUGCAAAAUAGACCAACUCGAAUAAAAUUUUGAUGUAAAAUGUCUAAAAAUGCUCCAUGAAAUAAGCUUUUCUAUUGUUUUUAAGAAUAAAGUUUCUUUGCCAGAAAAGUUUCGACAUGUUGAUUGACACAUACCAACAUGCGGUGAGAUCCAAGUGGGACCCGCUAAAAUAAAAAAUGAAAAAAAGUGCACCCACCCCCAUUUUAUUGUGAGUGUCUGUCAGGUGGCAACAUAACUUGAUUUUAUUUUUGAUUAUCAGUAUCAAUCUAAUUCAGUUUAAAUCACUUAUUAUUUUUUUCCAUCCUCAAUGAAGUGAGGCGCGGGACGAUCAUUACAGCACAUGAAACGAACGAGUUGCGGAAUGGAUAUAAAUAGGAAUGUUAUGCAUUCUUAAAUUGGACAAUAAAAACAAAGAAAAAGAAUCAUUCAUUACAAAUCGUGGUUAAAAAUUAAACUUGUCAAAAAUAAUCUCCUCUUCCAAAGGAAAAUUUGAAUUCAUUGCCCCUUUCCCUCUUGAUUAAUUAUUAUAAUUCCACAUUUCUAUUUCCACGCAAAAGUGGGACAAAGUUAAUAAAUAAUAUUAUUCUCCCAUCAAUUAGGUAUAUUUGGCCGGUUUGUCCAUUACUGAUGGCGACCCCAACAAUCUUCAGUGGCUUUCAUGUCAAUAACCUAAAAAUGUGCUUCAAAAUAGAAUAAAGUUUUAAUUGUACUGUAAAUAUAGUAGUAUUUAUGAAUGACUUUUAUACCUCUACAAUCUUAGUCAUUAUAACUGUUAUAUUUCUUGUAACCCUAAUUUUUCUCUAUAAAUAUGGAGUUUUAAUAAAUAAUUAAAUUUCUUUCUGAGGCCAACUCGGGCUUGAGCUGACAUCUAAAAGUAAGUCUUGGCAACCUCGAGCUAAGCCACAUGUUGUCGAAGUCGAUGAGCCAAAUUGAUAUCCAUCCUGAUGUUGUGGUAUUAAAUUUGUCUGUAAUUGUAAUUAGACCACUUUGAUUUUGAGAUAGAUUUACUAUACUCAUCUUUUUAGAUAUGGGUUAUAAUUGUAUAGGGCCACAUGGGUUCUGCAUAACCAGGGGCGCCACUUAGGUGGGAGGCCUAUUUUGUACACCGGGUUCUGCAUAACCAGGGGCGCCACUUAGGUGGGAGGCCUAUUUUGUACACCUAGCAUGAUUCUUUAGAUAUAAAUUUUAUAUGCAUUAUAUAUAUAUAUAUAUAUAUCUUUUAAAUUAAAAAUAUAUCAUGUUGUGCUCCUAAAGAAGCAUAACUCUACAAAUAUUACAUUCUACUGAAGAGUUAUAGUUUUUAAAUAAUAGGUUGUUGUUACUUUGGAAAUAGUAUAACAUUAUAAUUGAUAUUUUAGAAGAAUAUUACUCCCUAUUGAAGAGUGUGAAUUAUAAUUUUUAAUAUUUUAGAAUAAAAUUAACAUAUUGCCUUUUAAGAAAGGAUAGUAAAAUAUAACAUGUUCUCGAAGUAGAACACGCCUAAAAGAAUAUAUGUCUCGUUAUGUUCUUGAAUAAACACAAAUUUAAUUACUCAAUACUUGGUUGUAAUUUUUAAAGGAAAUUACUUUUUAUUAUAUUAAUAUACAAGAAGAAUAGUAAUUUAGUGCCACUGAAGAGCGUAACGUUUAGUGGUUUAAUAUUCUCACAUAUUAUUGCUUCAAAAAGAGAAACAAGUAAAAAUCUUGAAAUGCUAGAAAAAUUUAAGAUGGUUAUCAAGAUAUCACAAUUCUUCAAAGAUAAAAUGUACUUCUUGAAAUUAAAAUUAGCAUAAAAUAAUGUUAAUAAAAUAUCAGGUACAUAAAAAAUCAUUGAAGGCUCCGAAAGAGCUUUUAUUAUUUCAUCAAAUAAUUCAAAAUUAUAUAUUGAUGCACUUUAUUCCAGCAAAUUCAAAAAAAAAAAAAAUCCGUUGCAAUCGAUAUCGUAAAUGCGAAGUUCGUUGAUCCAAAAAGUUUAUACUUGGAAUGAUUAGUUAUACCACCAUUGGAUUAAUAAUGAUGCAAAAUUGAAAGUUCAAAAGGACGUUCAAGAAAAAUUAGAAGAUUUUCAAUCAAAUGAAUUCCUAUAUAUUAUUUGUUCUAUUUUUCAUUAAUUUGCAUUAGCUAAUAUAGGGAUUGAAUUCCCUAUAUUUUCUGAAAAUUAAUUAGGGAAAUAAAGGGGGUCAUGCAUCCUUCAUGUUGACUAUCUAGAUAUUAUUUGUAUCUAAUAUAUUUAAUAUAGCUACUAGAUAAUUGCAUGGUAUUCACAACCUAAGUUUGUGAAAUUGCUACUCAAAAGUUAAAUCAUGAGCAUAAUUUUUCGAAUUAUACAAUCAAGACAAUAUUUUGUUAAUGUCAGUGAGCCUAAAUUUCAACAUUUUAUUAAGUGUUAUUUCGAAUGUCGACAAAUGAUUUAACUAGUUUGCUUGUUAAACGCUGCUAAUUAAUUUAAUUAGGAACAAAGUUCUUCCCAUUUCUGUUUGAUGAAUACUUUUAUGCAUAAUGCCUAUAUCAAGUUCACCAUAUUAUAAAUAACUUAUGGUUACAAUAUGAUUUCAUCAUCUAAUUAUUUUGACAGUACAAUAUAUAUAUACAAUCAAUCCACCACAUUAAACUGAAUGAAAAGUAAAGAAUGAUGAAAAUAAUUGCGUAGUUUAAACUUUUAUCCCAAAUAGUUGAUAUUUUACAAACUUGCUUAUUGUCAAUUUUAUUGGACAAUUCUCUCAACUUUAGGGGAGGAAUUAAGAAGUUGAAAAACAAUGUACAAAUGCACCAUUAUUUAAAUCCUCGCAAAAGAUAAUUCGAACCAAAAGUUCGAAAGAUAAUUUAUUUGAAUACAUUUACUCAUCAAAUAGAUCAAUAAUAUCUCACAUACCAACUUUACAUGCUCCAACUUGAAUUAAUACCCUCGAGGACAAUUGGUUAAUUUAAUAAAUUUAUGGCACAUCUAAAGUAUGAUAAUAUUUGGUUCUAAUGCAAAAAUCUCCAAACAAAAUUGGAGUAAUCCCAUUAAGGAUGCAUAUACUUUUGAAAGGAUUUAAAUAAAACAAAUUAACCCCAUAAGAGGUUCAUAUGUAUGAUAUAUUGAAAAUUGAGAUAUCUUUAUAAGUUAUAUCUUUAUGUAAGAAAUAGAAACAAAAAAGAAAAAAUUAUUGACAACACGUUUACAUAUGAUGUACUAUAUCAUAUUUUGAAUAGCGAAUAAUUGAAAUAAAUUAGCCGAAGCAUAUCAAUCGAAUAAAUAAUUGGUAAAAGGAUGCAAUUUUAGCACGAUUGAAUUUACUAGAUAAAUAUAAAGUUUCUAGAUCUACAGUCGAAAUACCUAAAGAUUUAUAUUUAUGCGAAAUGAAAAUAGAAAAAGUAAAGGCGUAAUGUAAAAUGUACAAUUCUUUACAUAUUGAAUUCAGUGAAAACUUGUGUAAAUAGAUAAAUUAUCCAAUGGAGGAUGCAAUUAUAAGUAUCUUGUUAGUCUAGCAAUGCAUGCAAUUUGGUAUGCAUGUAGUAAAUAUGAUUAUAGCCAAAUUACCUUGUAUGAUUUUUGUUACACCUAUAAAUUACCACUUCAUAUUAGGCCCCAAAGUCGACGUUCUGACAAGGCCAGUCGAGGCGCCACUAAGGCCCUAAGGAGUUCAGCGGAGGCGCUCGCCAAAGUGCCUAUUAUUAUGUUCAUAUGAUCACCUCCUUAUUGGGCUUAAACUUCGACCCACCAACCCGUUUGGCUCAUUUUACUUCUAUUUCACUAUAUAUAUGGAUUCACUUACACAACUAAAGUAUGUUCUACACUUUCUAAUCAUACCUUCAUCUUCAUACUAUUGCACUCUAUAUAUCCAUCUCCGUCCGGCCGUUGACUUGAUCGUCGGAGUGCAAACGAUCGCCGGACCCUUUUCUCGUCUGACCGCAUUUGCCUCUUGACGGUGUGCUACUUCUGUAGGUUUUGAGGGGACGAGGCUAAGGAACCUGUUGAAGCCGUUUUUGGAGGUCAACAAAUUGGCACCAUCAUUUGUGUAAAAUGGUAUGUUGACCAUGUUAUAGUACAUCCCAAAGGCUAUCGAAAAGGGAGAAUUUUUCCGAUCAGUUCUCUACCAAAAAGGGGCAAAGAUAGCAACCAAGAAUGAAGAAGAAAAGGCAGUAACUAGAAGAGGGUUGAAGAAACUCGAUGGUUAUUUCCGGCACAAAACACAGCUAAUGAAAGGGAGGAAAUAGUUUGGCAAACUGAAAUUAAUUUUUGGUGGAGUUUCUCGUGCCCAAAUUGAAGAAAAAAGUCAUGAAAAUGGUGAUUAGGAAAGAAAUGGCCAUCCACACCUAGAAGGUUCUGCCUUCACGUUUGAAACAAGAAAAAUACUCCUCUUGCUGGAAUUAUCUACUUUUGCUUCCCCGUACAAAGGAAAUUUUAAAGGAUUUAUCCUUAAAUCAAUUACUUCAAUUCCCUUCUCAUAUGAACUCAAAAAAAAAAAAAAAAAAUGGAGUCUCUGUUCAGAAGAUCCACGUCCAGAAGGAAAUAAAGUCUAAGUCCAAAACAAAAGCAAAAGAAGGAGGCACGGCAAACACGGAUUUCUUCUCCUUUCGAAGUUGGAAAAAGAUUUUAAUGGGCGACCAUGGUUAUGUAAACCUCCGACAACAAGUAGCACCACACAAUACAAAGAAACACCGGCAUCGCAGUGAACUUCACGGCAGAGUUCUUGCUUUGUUACAUCAUUUUAGCAUUUAAUAUGAUGAAGACCAGGUGUCGACAGCGGCGUGUUCAGAGAAAAGAGUUGUACACAGUCGGCUAUCCAGCUACUAUUGUGCCUUACUUUGCUGACUUUUCUCCUGUAAUGAUUGGAAGGUAUUUUAUUAAGCUCCGCACACGGUAUGCAUUAUUGGUCCUAUGUAUUCAUUUUCCUUGGGCCCUAUUAUUUUACAUGAAAAUUUGGGGCUCAUUUGAUACUUUAAUUUUCUAGUGCCAUCUUCUCUCAGACCAAUGCAAUAUAUUUUCUACUCUCGAAGUUCCAUUUGAAAUUGGGCAGUAAGCUGUGAGCUCUAAGUUGAUUUUAUGGUCACUAUCUACAAGCUUCUUAGUGGGCUAUUAUUUAUUAUUAUUUGGUUGGGUUAUCCCUAUUUAUUCACACUUAUAUAUAUAUAUAUAUAUAUAUAUUGUCCAUGGCUUGAUUAGCUACCACUUUGACUAUUGAUUGGAUUGACUCCUAUUUGCUCUACCAUUAAUUCUUAUCAUCCAUGUCUAAGCAAAACCUACUGCCAUGGCAUAAUUUCGGAGUAUGGAGAUGAAUCUUAAUUUUAUUUGUGAAAAUGAGUUGUUAUCUAUUAUUGCCCAUAUUAUACUGUAAAUGGAUGGUGGCUUGCACCAAGCACUUGCAAAUGUCCAGCUCAAAUUUCGCUCAUUGAAAGCCUUUUUAUCAUCUUCUCCAUUAUCCAAGGCAAGCUCUAAAACCUUGCAUUAUUGAAGCCGAGCUCAUGAUUCUCUUAUUUAUUGAAGGCGAGCCCUAGCUCGUGUAUAUCUUAUCAUCAAAGCAUCAUUUUGGAGACCUCGUUCUUUGAAUAAAGGAAGAGGCAAUAUUUUUGGAGUCCUCAUUCCUUGAAUAAAGGAAGAGGUGAUAUCUUGAAGUCCUUGUUCCUUGUAUAAAGGAAGAGGCAUCAUAAUUUUGGAGUUCUCUUUCCUUGAAUAAAGGAAGAUGCGGAAGAGGCAGUAUAUUCGAGUACUCAUUCCUUGAAAAAAGGGUGAGAAAAAUCGCCAGACGUGUUUGCCCUUGAAAAAGGAGCCUUUCUUGGCCCCGCGAAAUGUUUAUUCCUUACAUCGCCAGAUGUUUAUUCUUGGGUUCACGGGAUGCUUAUUCUCCACCUCACUAUCGUCGAGGCCAGCUUAUAAGAUUCCGAUAGUCGACGGUUUGCCGGAUGUUUAUCCCUGGCUUCGCUUUUCUUGCUUCACUAUCGUUGAGCUUGGCUCUAAAUCCUCUUCUAUUCGAGGCCAGCUUAUAAAACUUCGAUAGUUCAAAACUUCACCAGAUGUUCAUCCCUGGCUUCGCGAGAUGUCUUUUCCUCGCUUUGCAAUCGUCGAGCUUAGCUUUAAACCCUCGUCAACCUGAGGCCAGCUUAUAAAACUCCAAUAGUUCGACACUUUGCCAGAUGUUUAUCCCUGGCUUCGCGAGAUGUGUUCUCCUCGCUUCACUAUCGUCGAGUAGAGUUUUAAGUCCUCUACAUUCCGAGGUUGCUUAUGGCUCCGAUAGUUUGAGUUACUCGCGGGACGUUUAUCCCUUGCCUCACUAGAUGUUGUCCUCAGCUUUACAAAACUUAGACGCACCUGACGUGGAGUCCCCUAUGGGUUAUCGCCUCGGCCGCUGCGUUCCCUCCUAAGUUUUACAAAGUUUUAGCCAUCUUCCAACGCAUCGUCCCUUAUGGGUCAGCGUACUGAUGACAGAUCACUCAGUUUUACAAAGUUUAAAUGCACCUAACGCGGAGUCCAUCGCAGCUGCGUUCCCUCCUAAACCUUACAAAGCUUUAGCUCUCUCCCAACGCAUCAUCCCCUGUGGGUCAGCGCACCGGUGGCAGAUGAGCUCCUUCCUCAAGCAGCGUCGAACCUUCAGUGCCUCAGUCGAAGAUGUGUCUCGACCUUCAGCUUCACAAAUUUCAGCAUCUCCCACGCGUCGUCCUAUUAGUCAGCGCUUCGGUAGAGACAGUUGAACCUACAACCAUACACUCAGUUGAUCUUAAAAAGUCAAUGGCUGAUAUACAUCGGUAUGCUUCAGUAUCAGUACGGCUACUUAUAUUCAGUUCAAAGCAUUGCUUCUGCUACUACAUCCAUAGCAUUGCCUCUGCUACUACAAUCAGAGCAUUGCCUCUGCAUCCAACGCAUCGCCCCUGUCGCCUAUGCUACUUACAUUCAAAGCAUCGUCUCUACAUCAACUUUAUCACAGUAGCUUAUAUUUCAAGUCCAACCCGCAUAUAAAUAAUACGACUCGGACUUGGGGGACUGUAUUUUAAUGCUAGCUAUAUAUAUAUAUAUAUAUAUAUUUCUCUUUAUUGACAAUUAAUUAUUAGACACAACUGACUAAAAUAGGGAUUGAAUUUUCUAUAUUUUUGAAAAUUAAUUAGAGUGAUAUAUAGGGCGAUAUUAUCCUCCACGUUGAUCAUCUAAUAACCCGUUUGGUACGGAUUAAAAUCUGAUUUUAAUUAAAGUCAAAGUCAAAUAAUCAAUCAAUAUUAGCCACAUCUUUCAUAGGUCCCAACUUUUCAACCACAUAUUUCAAUUUUUUUUUUAUCACAAUCUACUAAAAAUCUAUUUUUAAUCCCCAUCAAACACCCUCUAAAUAUUAUUUGUAUAUGAUAAAUUUGAUAAAUAUACUAAAUGGUUGCACAUGUUCAUAUCUUGAAGUUUGUGAAAUUAUUGUUCAAAUACUAAAUUGUGAGCAUAAUUUUCUGAUUAUAUAAUCAACAUUGUGUCUUGUUAAUGCUAGUGGACAUAAACAUCAACAUUUUAAUAAGUGUUAGUUAUUAGUUGAGAUGUCAAUAAAUGGUUUGAUACUAUUGUUUGUUACAUGCCUUCAAGUAAUUUAAUUGAGAAUAAGGUACUUCCCAUUUUUGUUUGAGGAUUUUCAUUGUGCAUCAUGCCAAUAUCACAGUUCUCUCUAUUAUAAUUGGCUUAUAGUUAGAACAUAAUUUUUUCAUCUAAUUAUUUCGAUAAUGUGUAUAUGUAAAAUUGAUCUACCAUAAUGUAUUCAGAUGGAAAGUAAAGAAUGUUGAGAAUAAAUGCAUAAUUUGAACCAUUAUCCCAAAUGAGUGAGAUAUUUUAUAACGGUGAAAAAAUAAUUGUCAAUUUGAUUGGACAAUUCUCUCAGCAUUACAGGAAAGAAUUAUGAAACUGAAAAUAAUAUGCAAAUGCAUGAUUAUCUAAAUUAUCGCAAAAGAUCGUUCGAACCAAAUGUUCAAAAGACAAUAUACUAGAUGCAUUUAUUGACUAAAGAGAUCAAUAAUAUCUCACACAUCAGUUUCAAAUGUUUCAACUUGAAUUAACGUCCUACAGGAUAAUUAGUAAAUAUGAUAUUUUAAAGCACGCUUGAAGCAUGGUGAUAUUCGAUUCUAAUUAAAAAAAAAAAUCUCCAAACAAAAAUGGAGCAAUUAGUAAAAAUGGUCUCAUUAAGGAGUCAUAUAUUCUUGACGAAUAUUUAGACAUAACAAAUUACAAAAUCUCAGAAGAGAUUCAGGUACCUGAUAUAUUGAAAGUUGAUAUUUCUCAAUAAGUUAUGUCAUCAUAAAGAAAGAAAUAGAAUUCAACAAGAAAAGAAAAAAUUGUCGAUAAUAAUUUUGCACAUGAUGUACUGCAUCAUAUAGUAAGGCGUCAAAAUAUAUCGAUCGAAGUAAUAAUUAACUAAAUAAAAGGGACGCAAUCCUAACUUGAAUUUACUAGAGAAACCUGAAGUUUUUGGAUAUACAGCCCGAACACCUAAAGGUCUAUACUUAUGCGAAAUAAAAAUGGAAAAAAUGAAGUCAUAAUAUGAAAUGUACGAUUCUUUACAUAAUGAAUUUCAUGAAAAUUAGUAUAAAUAGAUAGAUCAUCAUGUAGUGGAUGUAAUUACAAGUCUCUAUUUUAUUAGCUUGGCAAGACAUAGAAUUUGACAUAAAUAUUAUAAAUUCGAUUAUAGUCAAUGCAUCUGGCAUGACUAUUAAUGUUACCUUGAAAUAUUUAAAUGUUUGAAUCAUAAUUCAAGUGUUAUUAUAAUGAGGGAGAGUAAUGUAAAAUAUUUUUCGAACAAUUGAACAAAAUAAACUUUAAAAUGUCUAUUUUUACUAGUGUAAUUUGUAGUGAAUAAUGUACAAUAUUUUUCAAAGUUUAAUUGUCCAAACUCGACAUUUAAAUUUCAGUGACCAAUCGAAAACGUGGACUUAAGUUCAGUGACCUCGACAUUUUAAAUUUCAGUGACCAAUUAAAGUCAUGAACCCAAGUUCAGUUGCCAUUGAAACAAUUAAUUAACUCUACUUCUUCUUGGAAUUAAAUAUUACUUAUUAAAACAUGUGUUUGACACUCAUUUUUAUGGAAAAUGAAUUUUAGAAUAGUAGAUUGAUGGAAAAUUUGUGGAUGAAAAAUAAGGAAAUUUUUUUGAUUUACGUGAAUUAUUAUUUUAAUGAAAAAUGUGAUUAAAAUGAAGAGAAGGAAAAAUACAUUUUGAUAAAAAUGAGAAUCAAACGGGCCUUAAGCCUCCAUCUUACUUGGAUUUCUAGUUGAUGCCACGAAGUAGCAACAUGGGGUUGGUACCACGUGGACAAGUUGAGGCUGAUGAACCUCAUAGGCUGAGCCAAACAAAUUUCUUAAGAAACUUGUAAGUAACUUUUUAUUUGAAAAAAAAGUUGUAAUGAAUAUUGAAUAAUAUGUGUUGUUUGCCUAGGUGCCAGUGAAGGCAUCAACCUACACUCCAAAAAUGCUCUUAAUGAAAUGGAAUUGGAUGAAUAAUUGUUGGGGCUCAUUUUAUAAUGCGGACUAAUAAAAGACCAAAAAUAACAAAAUGGUCAGAACAGAUUCAUCCCAAUAAUUAAGAAAAUUGUUCAACAAUUAUAAAUAAAAAACAAUAAACAGAUAAAAAUGUUUUCGCCUUAUUUCUUAUUUGAACAAGUAAAAGUUGUGUCUCCAGUCGAGAAAAAUCAAAAAGCCAAAACCUUGAGCAGACCCUGAAAUGUAACCCCAUCAUUUUCAUCUCCACCAGCCAACCUGAUCAUGGCUUCAACAUCUUCAUCACGGGCCUCAAACCCGGCCCAUUUAAGGUAACUUUUCAAAUCCUCACGGCCCACUUUCCCAUCUCCAUCUUUGUCCAUAACCCGAAAAGCAUCCUCCAUUACACCCCAUCUCCCAUUUCUACCGUUUUUCCCAUUCAAAACCUUCUCAAAUUCAUCAUAUUCCACAUAUCCAUCCUUGUUAAAAUCCGCCAUGGAUAUCAUAGACUUUAUAUCAUCCUCAUUGGAAUCCCCGGGGCCAGAAAACCCUCCGUAAAAAGCCCGGAGAUCGUCGUGGCUAAUCUUUCCGUCGCUAUCGGCGUCAAGAACAUCGAAUGCUGAUCGCAAAUUGGCUUUUCCGGUUGUUUCACGGCGG